UACGAAGGGGGCUAGCGUUGUUCGGAUUUACUGGGCGUAAAGCGCACGUAGGCGGAUCGUUAAGUCGGGGGGUGAAAUCCUGGAGCUCAACUCCAGAACUGCCUUCGAUACUGGCGAUCUUGAGUCCGGAAGAGGUGAGUGGAACUCCUAGUGUAGAGGUGGAAUUCGUAGAUAUUAGGAAGAACACCAGUGGCGAAGGCGGCUCAGCUGGUCCGGUACUGACGCUGAGGUGCGAAAGCGUGGGGAGCAAACAGG
rnacentral:rRNA from 1 species